GUGAGCCUAGUGAUAGGAGACUAUCUAGCUUGGUUCGGAGGGCACUUGUUGGGGACCAUAUUUUUAAAUGCUGAACUAUUGACCCUAC
rnacentral:ncRNA from 1 species